CCAAAAAUACAGAUUUCCGAUUGUUAUGAAAACUUGAAAUCGGCCCUAAUUAAUCUCCCAUUCCGAUUAAUCGGUCAACCUCUACUAUAGAGGUGAAAGGAACACCACACACUUUCCCUCUUUCUCAAUUUUUCAAUAAGGUCGAUAAAAAGGGGUAUGCCAGGUGUACUCUGCCUGAAAUAGAUCAUUUAUGCCAGCAAAGGGUCUCAUGCUCUUCUGGCACAUUGUAGAACAGCACAGGUAGACUGUGUACAAUGUAAUAACGUGCAGUGUAGCCCAGAUACUGCCCACCACCAGCAUGUACCCUAGUCUACUUGAUGGCUCAGCGAUACACAAAUUGGCUUAAUUAUUUACUAACGAAAUAAUCACACAGAAUUACAUGAACACAGAGGAUAGAUUAUACGUUCAUUACUAACAUAAUGCAAUGAAAAGUCCCUAGUGUACUAAACCGAUAUGACAGCUUGUUACACGAUGAAAAGGGGUGGGGAAAGAAAGAGCGGGAGAAGGAGAGACAAAUUAAUUAAACUAUCGUACGUACAGUGGAAUAAUACGCUCAUCGUCAGUAUGGAUAUUUGGCAGCCUACUAACAUCUCAUUCGGAUUUGGAAAUGCAAUGUACAUAAUUACACUUGUAUGUCUGUCUUUUUCUGUUGAAAUUGCCUGAUCCUUGGAACAGUCUAGGCAACAAAUUAAAUUGGAUUGCUUUCUUACAUUUUUUUUAGCUGUGAGUUAGGUUCACAUGAACCACUUUAUUUUGCACACAGAGACUGAUCAUGUAGAUCAUAUUCUAUUCUUGAUCAUAUGUUGUUUAAUGAGUUGAAACCUGCAUUUCACCCUGCAGGGAUUCUUUGCAUGUUUCAGUGCAAAACAAAAUGCCACCUUUUUGGUCCCACCAGUUUGCAUCCCUGAUAUUUAUGCUUGUAUGUCUGUUGUCUUUCUCUGUUGAAAUCGCCCGAUCCGUCUGUUACGAAAAAUUUGACAGAAAGUCUCUGGUUGUGUAAGUCUCUGGUUGUCCACCAAAGAUCACCAUGUCCUUACGCCAGUAGCAACCCUGCCACCGCUCCAUGUUUUCUGGUCUAAUGUCAAUUUUGUUAGGAGUCCUUUAUAAGCACUCUGGAAAAAGGGCGUUCCAUCGUUUUGGCAUGUCUGUGCUCAUGUGGGCAUGGUUACUGACUGGGUGAAACAAUUAUCUCAUUUCGAAGGCUAAAAUCACAUUUCAUCUUCUCACAAAUAGUUUCAUAUUUAAUUAUCUAAGUUUUACAACAUUUAGAUGUAACUCUGACAUACAUUGGAAACUCUUAGUUACAAUGUUUCCGUUAUAACGUCUUUAAUGAUAUCACCAAACAAUAAAUGCUUACAUGAUUGUUCUUUAAGUCCCUCCUGACCAUUUCCCACAUUCUUUGUGUUAGGAAUGUUGUUUCAUUAUCCACUUUUGGAUGUUGUAGUUUUAGCGGGAAGAAUCUGCUUGUAACAAAGGGUUAUUUCCCUUCAAUACUGCAUGGCCAGGGAGAGACAGUUCCUGCAAGGUAUUUAUGACCGUCAUAAAACUGGCCAACUCCCCCAGGAGAGGGGGGUCUUGAGAAACAUUUGUUUAGCCGGCACCUUUGAUCCAGGAGGACAAGUCAUGACAUAGGCUGUGGUCCUUGGUGUCCUAGCAGAGCAUUCCCUCCCCUUUGCUAUUGCUCCAGUAAUUGUUGAGCUAGUGCAAAAUCUUGCCGUUAACAAGGUGGCUUUGGAGAGGAUGAAGCUCUCGAGAACAGCGGCAUCCGACAAGAUGGUCAAUGGCCUAGGGCGGACCUUCUCCGAAAGGACCUUCUCAUACCUGAGGUUUCCUUUUUCUUUGAACUUGGAUGAGAGCACAUCUAACAGCAACAAAAAGGUUGUUCUCAUAUUUAAUUAUUGUUAUCUUAUCAAUUUGGCAUUCUAUUCACUCUAUUUGCACUACUUGUAUCUUGUUUUAAUCUUAUCUUACACUUUUGGAGAGCUCAAGUAGAACGCAUUUAAUUGUCCAGUCAACAUCUGUUUACUGUGUAUUUGACAAAAUAACUGAUUUUGUUUGAUUUGAUUUUUGAAGGUCCUCUCCGUGCUGGUAAGCUACUACCAUGAUGACAUGGGAAAGGUGGUGGUGGAGUACUGGAGGUCAUAAAGGUGAAUGCCGUCAGCUUGGACAGCGUGCUCUGCAACUUCUUCAACCAUAACAUUCUUGUAGCAUCAUGAGAGGUAGCAAGACCGGCAUCGAGACAAGGAUCCUUCCAACCCUGCUCGACAUUGAUGGAGUCUCCUGUCAUCACAUCCACAAUGCAGCAAAGAAGUUUGCAGAGCCCUUCGACCACCACCUUGAGCAGCUCUUCAAUGAUCAGCACACUGAUCAUCAGCGGUCUCCAUAUCAAUGAUGUACCUCAAGGUUAUAUGCCGGUACCUGAACAUCCCUGCCUCCAAUCCUCAGAGGUUUGUGCCCCAUCGCUGGCUGUCUGCAUAUGAUGUCAGCAUUUCGACACACAGAAUGCUGUACUAUGGAUUCCCGAGCAACGAAGACCAGGAGCUGUAAUAGGACCCACUAGAACACAUUUAUAAAAAAGACCACGCGAGCGAGAAGGCACAAGCCUUUGCAUGAGCACCUCAACAGAAAAGGUAUAACACAGCAAGGAAAAUACAGAAAGAAGAGUGACCAGGAAGGUGUGGCAUGAGGUCACUACAACUGACCUACAACUCAGCAUUUACGUGGGUGUACUGCCUAUCCUGAUGGAACACGUAAUGGUUUCCCAGGGUAGCCAGAUGUUGGUACAUAUGCUCCACGACAAGCAGCUUGAAACCUUUCAAUGCUGAAUACAUCACAAAAGUGUCACCCAAGACUAUGGGAGUGAUGGUACUUAAGGAGAAGAUGCAUGUGGGGCGGGAAGCAGAUGGAUUCAGAACCAGGAAUCCGAAUCAUGCUCUGCUGAAGUCUUUCAUGGAGAAGGUCACCAAAGCCUUGCAAAGUCACACACUGAGGUCACUGUCUGCUCUGGACCCGAUUUUGAGAGGCCACUCGCAGGUCGCGAUCCAGUUGAAGAAGCUGAGCGCAAUGUUGGGCCACCUCUCACCUGCCAACAGUGAUCUCCACCAGGAGAUAAUGCGAUACAACGUUGAUUCAUUCCUGGCCAGCUUCACGGAGGGAGAUGAGAUGGGCUCAUGUCUUGGCCCAGACAUUGUAUCCAGCCCUGGGUAAUGUGGUGAAAGGUGCCCUCUCUGUCUUUCAUGGUCCCAGGGUUGAAUCUUCAUUUAGCUGGAUGAACGACAUCAUUAAUACAUGAAGCACCAACAUGAACAUCUCAACUUUCAAUGCAAUACAGACUGUGAACUACACCUUGCAGACCAUGCAGAAGACCGCAGUGGAGAUGUUUAAACGGGAGGAUGCAAGGUUUGGAUAGGUGAACUGAAGGUUCUGCAGAAACAUCAGGUCUGCAGGAACAGUAGACAAGACCCAGUGGCAGCGGAGUCUGCUGGAAGCCCGAAGAUUAUAUCUCGGGUAUGGCUGUUAGCCAUCUGGAAGUGCUCAGGAGAGCAAGACGGCCGCAGCUGAAGAGGACAAGAGGGCAAGGCUCAAACAUGCCUCAAAAACAGAGCAAGAGGGCACUUGAAAUACUUAUCCGGGUUAUGAAAAAGAAGUAGGGACAAACCCUCUACCCAGCCCUCUCCUUCCCUCCAGUCCUCUCCUUCCCUCCAGUCCUCUCCCUUUGUCAAAUAAAUCUCACAUUGUUUCUGGCCUAGGACGCAGCAUCAGAGGCCUGUUUUCUGCCACCAUUUACCUUAAUUUGAUGGGCUAUGUUUUUAUGUUUGUAAUACAGAUAUUUUUUUAAAGAAAGUGUUGUGAAAAUGUAUGUGGGUAUAGGAAAGAGUUCUAUUUGGGUUUCGUUUAACUUUCCCUCAGAAAUGUUCAGAUCUGUUGGACAAUGCAGCAUCAGAGGGACUUGUUCCUGAAAACUGGAUCAAUGAGUUAACUAGCUAAAUUUCCAGAUUAUCUUGAAAUAACUCCUUCCUUUGAGAAAAUAUUGACCUAAAAUGUAUGUGGUAUUAUAUUGACUCGACUACAUAAACCAGUAUGAAAUAUUAAUGUAUUGUUUAUUUUGUGGACUUGUGCAGUAAAGUAUGUGCAUGUGCAGUAAAGUAUGGCAACAAAUAA